rnacentral:rRNA from 1 species
GUUGUCGUCAGCUCGUGUCGUGAGAUGUUCGGUUAAGUCCCGCUAACGAGCGCAACCCUCGCUGUGUGUUACAAGUGUCACACGGAACUGCCGGUCAUAAACCGGAGGAAGGUGGGAUGACGUCAAGUCAGCAUGGCCUUUAUAUCCUGGGCUACACACACGCUACAAUGGGAAGGGACAAUAGGUUGCGAAGCCGCGAGGCGGAGCCAAUCCAGCAAAACUUCCCUCAGUUCAGAUUGCAGGCUGCAACCCGCCUGCAUGAAGUUGGAGUUGCUAGUAAACGCAGGUCAGCCAUACUGCGUUGAAUACGUUCCCGGGGCUU